AGAUUGAACGCUGGCGGCAGGCCUAACACAUGCAAGUCGAGCGGUAGAGAGGUGCUUGCAUCUCUUGAGAGCGGCGGACGGGUGAGUAAUGCCUAGGAAUCUGCCUAGUGGUGGGGGAUAACGUUCGGAAACGGACGCUAAUACCGCAUACGUCCUACGGGAGAAGCGGGGGACCUUCGGGCCUCGCGCCAUUAGAUGAGCCUAGGUCGGAUUAGCUAGUUGGUGAGGUAAUGGCUCACCAAGGCGACGAUCCGUAACUGGUCUGAGAGGAUGAUCAGUCACACUGGAACUGAGACACGGUCCAG
rnacentral:rRNA from 1 species